rnacentral:rRNA from 1 species
CGCGGCCUAUCAGCUUGUUGGUGGGGUAAUGGCCCACCAAGGCGACGACGGGUAGCCGGCCUGAGAGGGUGACCGGCCACACUGGGACUGAGACACGGCCCAGACUCCUACGGGAGGCAGCAGUGGGGAAUAUUGCACAAUGGGCGAAAGCCUGAUGCAGCGACGCCGCGUGAGGGAUGACGGCCUUCGGGUUGUAAACCUCUUUCAGCUCUGACGAAGCUUUAUUGUGACGGUAGGAGCAGAAGAAGCACCGGCUAACUACGUGCCAGCAGCCGCGGUAAUACGUAGGGUGCGAGCGUUGUCCGGAAUUAUUGGGCGUAAAGAGCUUGUAGGCGGCUUGUCGCGUCUGCUGUGAAAUCCCGGGGCUCAACCUCGGGCUUGCAGUGGGUACGGGCAGGCUAGAGUAUGGUAGGGGAGACUGGAAUUCCUGGUGUAGCGGUGGAAUGCGCAGAUAUCAGGAGGAACACCGAUGGCGAAGGCAGGUCUCUGGGCCAUCACUGACGCUGAGAAGCGAAAGCGUGGGGAGCGAACAGGAUUAGAUACCCUGGUAGUCCACGCCGUAAACGUUGGGCGCUAGGUGUGGGUCCCAUUCCACGGGGUCCGUGCCGCAGCUAACGCAUUAAGCGCCCCGCCUGGGGAGUACGG